GAUGAACGCUGGCGGUAUGCUUAACACAUGCAAGUCGAACGCACUCUUCGGAGUUAGUGGCGGACGGGUGAGUAACGCGUGAGAAUCUGGCUUUGGGUUCGGGACAACCACUGGAAACGGUGGCUAAUACCGGAUGUGCCGAGAGGUAAAAGAGAAAUUGCCUGAAGAUGAGCUCGCGUCUGAUUAGCUAGUUGGUGAGGUAAAGGCUCACCAAGGCAGCGAUCAGUAGCUGGUCUGAGAGGAUGACCAGCCACACUGGGACUGAGACACGGCCCAGACGCCUACGGGAGGAAGCAGUGGGGAAUGUUCCGCAAUGGGCGAAAGCCUGACGGAGCAAUACCGCGUGAGGGAAGAAGGCUCUUGGGUUGUAAACCACUUUGCUUAGGGAAGAACAAAAUGACGGUACCUAAGGAAUCAGCAUCGGCUAACUCCGUG
rnacentral:rRNA from 1 species